rnacentral:rRNA from 1 species
GCGACGACGGGUAGCCGGCCUGAGAGGGCGACCGGCCACACUGGGACUGAGACACGGCCCAGACUCCUACGGGAGGCAGCAGUGGGGAAUAUUGCGCAAUGGGCGAAAGCCUGACGCAGCGACGCCGCGUGGGGGAUGACGGCCUUCGGGUUGUAAACCUCUUUCAGCAGGGACGAAGUUGACGUGUACCUGCAGAAGAAGCGCCGGCUAACUACGUGCCAGCAGCCGCGGUAAUACGUAGGGCGCAAGCGUUGUCCGGAAUUAUUGGGCGUAAAGAGCUCGUAGGUGGCUUGUCACGUCGGGUGUGAAAGCUUGGGGCUUAACUCCAGGUCUGCAUUCGAUACGGGCUGGCUAGAGGUAGGUAGGGGAGAACGGAAUUCCUGGUGUAGCGGUGAAAUGCGCAGAUAUCAGGAGGAACACCGGUGGCGAAGGCGGUUCUCUGGGCCUUACCUGACGCUGAGGAGCGAAAGCGUGGGGAGCGAACAGGAUUAGAUACCCUGGUAGUCCACGCUGUAAACGUUGGGCGCUAGGUGUGGGGACCUUCCACGGUUUCCGCGCCGUAGCUAACGCAUUAAGCGCCCCGCC